AGAUCUGCCGAGGCACAGAGGGGAGAGGAAGUCAGAGGGGAAGUGAGGGGUCCGGAGUGGCAGGGCUAAUGACACCCAAACUCUGCUGACUCCACUGUCUUUCUCUAGCUAUUCCAGGCACAGAUGUACCCUCCACAACCAGGAAGGACAGACAGUUCAUUUGCCCUUGAACUUAGUAAUCACUCAAAGCACUCAAUGAGUAGGAAUUGAUUCGAUCCUGGACUGAGUUACACAUAGAAACUGACUCUCCCUGAUAGUGUCAAUUCUAGUUAUAGUGGGAGCUAGGUGAAGUUGAAAAGUUGGUCAGAUGGUGUUUUGCUGGGGAAAACACUUGAAGGAGCGUUUCGUUAAUGUGGACACAGAUGUGAAAGGUUAAGGCAGACACGUGAAGAAACAUUUUGAUGGAGCAGACACAGGAGAGGAUGUUCUGCUAAAGCAAGCACAUGUAAGAACAUGUGAUGAAAGAUUCUUUGCUACGUGAAUGUAUUAGUCUGCCUUACAUUGCAUAGUUGAGCUGCAUUUGUCGGGACUCCAUAGAGAGAGAGAAACGCACCAACAAUUUUCUGGUGGUGUGCUGCAGUUUGUUGCCAUUUCCAAGGACUCGGGCUGACUGGAUACAGGUGCUGAGGCAAGACACAGGGAGGAUACGUGAUAUUUGGAGGCAACACAUGUGGAGGACACAUGAUAUUUGGAGGGGAUAAACAGGACUCCACAGAAUGACAAAGGCUGAGCUAGGCUUGCUUUUAGAGCUAGCUGUGCAACGCUUGUGGAUCUCUCAUCUUCGCUGAUCUUCACUUCCCUGAGAGAGGCACAGCUGAGUAUUUCUGGAGUUCCUGCCGACUUGAGCCAAGGUUGAAGCCUGGCUGUCUCUCCUAGGUUGUGCCACCGCAGUUGCUAUCCCGACUCUACCAAACUGGACUGCUGGUGUAUCCGUGAAGUGUUUGAGAGUGGAUGGAGCUGCUGCUGCUGCCUGCUAACCUGUGAACUGAACUGCUGAUUUCCAGACAACUGCUGAUUUUCCAGAUAAGGGAAUGAGAAUAAGCCUGGAGCUCCUUGCAAGCAGGCAGAGUUGCUCUGAUGAAGCUGGCAGCUGCGUUUGCUCAGGGGUCUGAGCCCUACAACAAUCUCCAAUUGUUUGACCUACAUGUCUAUCUGUGCACCGCCCGCACUGAGUGCCGACACCGACAGAAGCCAGCAGAGGAUGUCCGUUACCCUGGACUGGAGUUACAGUUGUGAGCUGCCAUGUAGGUGCUAGAAAUGGAACCCUAAGUCCUCUGCAAGAGCAGUCACUGCUUUCUACUGAGCCAAUUCUCCAGCUCCCUAUUCAUCAAACGUUUACCAAGCACCUAGUCCUUAUGUAUUGGACACAGAGUCAGUUUUGGGGGAGAGUGCUGUGACCUCUUCCCUUGGGGAGCUCCAACCUAUAAGGAAAUACUAUUAUUGUAUUUCCCUAUUAUUUUAUUGUUUUUUAAAAUGUGCAUGUAUCUGUAUAUUCCACAUAUGUGCGGGUGCAGGUGUGUAUGUUUCUGUGUGUACAUGUCACAUGUGUGCAGGUGCCCGUGAAGUUCAGAACAGGGCAUUAGAUCUCUAGAGCUGAAUACGGCAGCUGUGAGCCACCCGAUGUGGGUGCGAGGAACAGAGCUCUGAUGUAAUGCAAGAACCAUAAGCGCUUCCCGCUGAUCACUAUCUCCAGCUUUGUUGUGUUUAUUGUACAGAAAAGAGGUGCAGUGUUGAAAGGUCUUUGAAAGCUAUGGAGUGCUGUGAAAUAUAAUAAACAAUGUGUCUUACGCUUAUCUAA